AAACUAGGACCGAGUCCUACUUGCGAUCGAUGUCCGAAUUGUGUACGUUCAGCUCCCCGUCGUACCAGAAUCGAACGAUUCUGACUACCGCUGGCCGCGUGCCCACUCAUUGUGCAUAGGUUGGACGGCAGAUGAGAACCUGUCGGAAGACUUUCCUUCUAAUUAUGUUCUACCGUAGUACUCAGGCGUACAAGUGUACUAAUUUCCAUAAGGCCAUCUGCUACCCCUACGCAAGGUAAUCUAUCAUCCGCCCCAUUGCCGGGUGGAUCAGAAGCUACCUAUCCCAAGACUCUCCUUCAGGGGGUGUAACCUUGACUCUGUGCCAGGUUUGAGGAUGCCCUCCGUCGUCACUCCUUAUAACCAGUUACCCGCUCUCGGACUUGGUCGGUUCAUCGCACUUCCUACUGACGGGAUACCCAACAUUUGAAGAAAAUAUUUCCUUAUUUCAGCCCAUACCUAUGGGCAAACGUACAUGAAAUACUUAUUCCUAGCCGAUUGAGGCACGGUCGUCGGCGCCAUUAUGCCUCCUAGGCUCGCAAUAGGCCUAAAUAACCCAAAUUUCCCUCGCAUCUACCUACAAAUUCAGUCAACACUUUCAAACGCCGAGUUGGCAUUUUAACGUCAACUAUGACCUAUAGAACUCACGUCAACUCCGUCCGCCUUAAGCACCACAUCGCCACUUUACGAAUCUAUAGUGCUUCUUGAGGCUAACGCUUCCGUCGGACGAUUCGACGUUGACUGUAACUCCGAGCUUUCACACCCAUAGUUUGUCCUAAUCUAUGGGACCAUCAGGUGUGCCAUUUGCUACUUAUGAGCGACAAACGCUAUAUGUCGUUCGCCGGUUCGCUUUCGCAAUUCAUAAGGUGGACCCCUCAUGCGGCCGUUGCCACUUUGAGUUUCCUUAACUGCCCCCGGGCGUGUUCGCCUCCUUGUACACCAAAUUAAGCUACUAUGCGCUCCUUGGAAUGGGCCCGAAUUUAACGUCUACUUAAUGCCACUUUCGGCAUUCGGCGUUCCGUAGACACUUCCACGACGUACCAACAGCAGUCGAGCACGGCACUCCACAGCCGAAUUCACGGUAUUGCUCGCGUUGGGAACAACAGUCAAUGAUUGUCCAAGACGACUCCUGAGACUGUUCUGACGGUAGCAUUCUACACUCCUUCCACCCCUACUGCAGUUUAGUCGUGCCGGGAAUGCAGGCCCCGAUGUGUGCACAAUGUUACCCCCCAUGUCUCCCGGCGAUGGUGCGCUCACUACGGUUAGGGUUUUUGGAGAGAGUCAAGCCUGACCUCAGACGUUGGGCUGAGGUGCUUCGACCUAAGCGAUCAUUAGCGCGUAGUCGGUGCCGCGCCACUUAUGCAAGGGCCCGGAACAUGUGUGGCGGGCAGUUCGGUACCCUCGGCCCCCAUGGACUUCACGCAUUGGCGCUCCUCGCGGGAUCCCAUUUUGACCACUGACCCCGAUUCAGCAUUGU
rnacentral:rRNA from 1 species